GCUUCCAUAGCUCAGUUGGUUAGAGCUUCGUACUAAUACUACUACUUGCUAGUGUUGGUGAUGCGAAGGUCGCAGGUUCAAGCCCUGCUGGGAGCA